rnacentral:rRNA from 1 species
GACGAACGCUGGCGGCGUGCUUAACACAUGCAAGUCGAACGGAAAGGCCCUGCUUUUGUGGGGUGCUCGAGUGGCGAACGGGUGAGUAACACGUGAGUAACCUGCCCUUGACUUUGGGAUAACUUCAGGAAACUGGGGCUAAUACCGGAUAGGAGCUCCUGCUGCAUGGUGGGGGUUGGAAAGUUUCGGCGGUUGGGGAUGGACUCGCGGCUUAUCAGCUUGUUGGUGGGGUAGUGGCUUACCAAGGCUUUGACGGGUAGCCGGCCUGAGAGGGUGACCGGCCACAUUGGGACUGAGAGACGGCCCAGACUCCUACGGGAGGCAGCAGUGGGGAAUAUUGCACAAUGGGCGGAAGCCUGAUGCAGCAACGCCGCGUGCGGGAUGACGGCCUUCGGGUUGAAAACCGCUGUCGACUGUGACGAAGCGGGAGUGACGGUAAUGGGUAAAGAAGCACCGGCUAACUACGUG